CCCUAUUAUUUGGAAUGUUAAGUGUUUAAUUUGCCUGAGUAGUAUUAGUUAUGUUCUUGAAACUUAAAGAAUUUGGCGGUAUCUCAUUCCUUCCAGAGGAAUCUGUCUCGUUAUCGAUAGUCCACGUUGGACCUUACUUGGAUUGCUUGUGGUUUGUAUACCGCCGUUUAUUGAUUAUCUUUUUAGAGCUUGAGUAAUUUUCUGGUUUCUUUACUUUGGUUUAUUUCAGGUCAAGGUGCAGCUUGUUUCUAAGUGAACGAUGGAUUACAUUGUUAUUUGUUUUUGGAUUAUUAAUUUCAAUAUUAAUAUGAAAUUGGAUUUGGUUGUAAUGGUUUGUAGAUUGUUUUCAUGAUAUUGGUUCUGGGGUAUGCACACAUCGCCCGUCGCUCUCGUUCAAAGUUGUUAAUGAGAUAAGUC
rnacentral:rRNA from 1 species